rnacentral:rRNA from 1 species
UGGGGAAUUUUGGACAAUGGGCGAAAGCCUGAUCCAGCAAUGCCGCGUGCGUGAAGAAGGCCUUCGGGUUGUAAAGCACUUUUGUCCGGAAAGAAAUCCUUGGCUCUAAUACAGUCGGGGGAUGACGGUACCGGAAGAAUAAGCACCGGCUAACUACGUGCCAGCAGCCGCGGUAAUACGUAGGGUGCAAGCGUUAAUCGGAAUUACUGGGCGUAAAGCGUGCGCAGGCGGUUUGCUAAGACCGAUGUGAAAUCCCCGGGCUCAACCUGGGAACUGCAUUGGUGACUGGCAGGCUAGAGUAUGGCAGAGGGGGGUAGAAUUCCACGUGUAGCAGUGAAAUGCGUAGAGAUGUGGAGGAAUACCGAUGGCGAAGGCAGCCCCCUGGGCCAAUACUGACGCUCAUGCACGAAAAGCGUGGGGAGCAAAACAGGAUUAGAUACCCUGGUAGUCCACGCCCUAAAACGAUGUCAACUAGUUGUUGGGGAUUCAUUUCCUUAGUAACGUAGCUAACGCGUGAAGUUGACCGCCUGGGGAGUACGGUUGCAAGAUUAAAACUUAAAUGAAUUG